rnacentral:rRNA from 1 species
CAUUGCCUACGGGGGGCAGCAGUGGGGAAUAUUGCACAAUGGGGGGAACCCUGAUGCAGCGACGCCGCGUGGGUGAAGGAGCACCUCGGUGCGUAAAGCCCUAUCGGCAGGGAAGAAACAGACGGUACCUGACUAAGAAGCCCUGGCUAACUACGUGCCAGCAGCCGCGGUAAUACGUAGGGGGCAAGCGUUAUCCGGAUUCACUGGGUGUAAAGGGAGCGUAGACGGCCAUGCAAGCCUGGAGUGAAAGCCCGGGGCCCAACCCCGGGACUGCUCUGGGAACUGUGCGGCUGGAGUGCGGGAGG